GCCAGCAGCCAUCUCACCCUGCAACUUUCAACUGGCAACCCACUGAAGCUAAGCAGGUGUGAGCCUGGUCAGUACCUGGAUGGGAGACCUCCAGGGAAAAACUAAGGUUGCUGCUGGAA
ensembl:rRNA 5S_rRNA 5S ribosomal RNA